UGAGGAAUAUUGGUCAAUGGGCGGAAGCCUGAACCAGCCAAGUCGCGUGAGGGAAGACGGUCCUAUGGAUUGUAAACCUCUUUUUGCAGGGGAGCAAGGAGCGGUACGUGUGCCGCUUUGGAGAGUACCCUGAGAAAAAGCAUCGGCUAACUCCGUGCC
rnacentral:rRNA from 1 species